CCUGCGCUGAACAUCAUCACCACCAUGAGGUGGGCACAUGACCAAUAUAUUCAUAGUUGGACAGUAUUUCCCAUCCCAUGCAUGAAGCUAGUAAAGACAUGGAGAGACACAGUCUUCACUAUAUUUGCCAGGUCAUCAUAAAGCUCCCACACACAUGGAGCUCUUCGGCAGUAUGCAAUGUAAUGUCCCAGACCAUCUUUAGUCAAGCUUCCCUUGAAAGCGAUGACUCCUCUCAAAGAGAAUGUCUUUCCUUGGAGAGCAACAGUGGGGGGAAAUUCACUCAAAGGAAACUGAGUUGUGUUUGCAAGUGGGCGAAGGCAGGGAGACUCCGGAAGGAAGAGUCCAUUUUCCACUGAAAUGUCAAGCUGAGCCAUGCCAGAGUCCAUCAGCACAGAAAUGUCAGGAGAAACAAAUGAUGGAUCUGCAUGGAGCCAUUCAGUGCAGGAAGUGAGAUAAGAAGUUCUCUUCCUUUUUUUGGGUGGAAGAAUUAGUCCCCUCCAGUUUUCAACCACGUCUUCAUCUGUUGGAGGAAUGUUUGUGGUUUCAUCGGAUUCUACAGAAUGAACAAAUCCGCAUAUUUCCUUCUAUAAAGGAAAGAUGACGAGAAAUAAAGCGAUCAACUCGAAUGGGUAAGUUCUCGUGUUUAAAAAGGCCAUGCUUUACAUUUUUAAAUUCUGCUUCAACAGUGGCUGAGCUUGCUGUGAGGUUGGUGCUUUUG